rnacentral:rRNA from 1 species
GCAAGUCGAGGGGUAACAGAGGAGCUUGCUUCUGCUGACGACCGGCGCACGGGUGCGUAACGCGUAUAGAAUCUACCUUACACUGAGGGAUAGCCUUUGGAAACGAAGAUUAAUACCUUAUAGUAUACUGACUUGGCAUCAAGACAGUAUUAAAGGUUACGGUGUAAGAUGACUAUGCGUUCUAUUAGCUAGAUGGUAAGGUAACGGCUUACCAUGGCAACGAUAGAUAGGGGCCCUGAGAGGGGGAUC